rnacentral:rRNA from 1 species
UAGGUGGCAAGCGUUAUCCGGAUUUACUGGGUGUAAAGGGCGUGUAGGCGGGAUGGUACGUCAGAUGUGAAAACUCCGGGCUCAACCCUGAGCCUGCAUUUGAAACUAUCGUUCUUGAGUGUUGGAGAGGCAGGCGGAAUUCCGUGUGUAGCGGUGAAAUGCGUAGAUAUACGGAGGAACACCAGUGGCGAAGGCGGCCUGCUGGACAAUAACUGACGCUGAGGCGCGAAAGCGUGGGGAGCAAA